CCUACGGGAGGCAGCAGUAGGGAAUUUUGCGCAAUGGGCGAAAGCCUGACGCAGCAACGCCGCGUGAUCGAGACGCCCUUCGGGGUGUAAAAGUCUGUCAGUGGGGGCGAAACUUGACGGUACCCACAGAGGAAGCACCGGCUAACUCCGUGCCAGCAGCCGCGGGCAUACGGAGGGUGCAAGCGUUGUCCGGAACCAUUGGGCGUAAAGAGUUCGUAGGCGGCACUUAAAGUCUGGUGUUAAAGGCAGAGGCUCAACUUCGGUACGGCACUGGAUACUUGCGAGCUAGAAUGCGGUAGAGGCAGAGGGAAUUCCUGGUGUAGCGGUGAAAUGCUUAGAUAUCAGGAGGAACAUCGGUGGCGGAAGCGCUUUACUGGGCCGCAAUUGACGCUGAGGAACGAAAGCCAGGGUAGCAAAUGGGAUUAGAUACCCGAGUAGUC
rnacentral:rRNA from 1 species